rnacentral:rRNA from 1 species
UACGGAGGGGGCUAGCGUUGUUCGGAAUUACUGGGCGUAAAGCGCACGUAGGCGGCUUUGCAAGUUAGAGGUGAAAGCCCAGGGCUUAACCCUGGAAUUGCCUUUAAAACUGCAUCGCUAGAAUUGUGGAGAGGUGAGUGGAAUUCCGAGUGUAGAGGUGAAAUUCGUAGAUAUUCGGAAGAACACCGGUGGCGAAGGCGGCAUCCUGGACCGGUAUUGACGCUGAGGCGCGAAAGCUAGGGGAGCAAACGGG